CAUGCCCCUUAUACGCUGGGCUACACACGUGCUACAAUGGGUAGAACAGAGAGUUGCAAAGCCGUGAGGUGGAGCUAAUCUCAGAAAACUAUUCUUAGUUCGGAUUGUACUCUGCAACUCGAGUACAUGAAGUUGGAAUCGCUAGUAAUCGCGAAUCAGCAAUGUCGCGGUGAAUACGUUCUCGGGUCUUGUACACACCGCCCGUCACACCACGAGAGUUGGUUGCACCUGAAGUAGCAGGCCUAACCGCAAGGAGGGAUGCUCCGAGGGUGUGAUUAGCGAUUGGGGUGAAGUCGUAACAAGGUAUCCGUACGGGAACGUGCGGAUGGAUCACCUCCUUUCUAAGGAGAAAAAGUCUUUCUCUAUUCUAUUGGUAAUGUUCUUUACAUUACUUCUGAACAUUGGAAACUAUAUAGUAGAACAAACAAGAAAAAAAAUUAAACUCUAACAAUUUCUUAGAGUUAGCUGUCAAAAAAUAGGUUAAAAUAAUUAAGGGCACACAAAGGAUGCCUAGGUAGUAAGAGCCGAUGAAGGACGUGGUAAGCUGCGAUAAGCCUAG
rnacentral:sRNA from 1 species